rnacentral:rRNA from 1 species
AUGGGGACGCCAUGCACGGAGGAUGAUCGACACUUCUUUGCGGCUGCCACUACGGUCCUUGUUGGCAACGGAUGAACGGCGCAAUUCUGGAAUUCGUCGUGGCUCAAUGGCUUGCGCCCCCGUGACAUCGCGCCGGACCUCUUUCACCUUUCUCGCAAGAAGAACCCAUUGGUCCAGCAAGCCAUGACCAACAACCUGUGGAUCACUAAUAUUGAUGGCACCAAUGGUUUGUCCAUCGCGCAUAUCGAGCAGUUUGCUGACCUUUGGGAAAAAUUAUCAUCGGUGGCCCUUGAGGAAGAUGUGGAAGACUCCAUUACUUGGAAGUUCACUAAGGAUGGGAUUUAUUCUGCUUCAUCGGCAUACAAGGCACAAUUUGAAGGUCUCAUAUCCUCUGAUCUUGUCAAGUCUGUGUGGAGGGCUUGGGCUCCCCCGAGGUGCAAAUUCUUUGCUUGGCUCGUUCUUCAAAACAGAAUAUGGACAUCAGACCGCUUGAUCCGUCGUGGCUGGCCCAACUGCGGCUUGUGUCCCCUUUGUAAGCAAGCACAGGAGUCCGCUGCUCACCUACUAUUCCAGUGCCGCUUCACAUUGCGCAUUUGGAAUGACAUUCUUCCGUGGCUUGGAAUGCACCACAUCUCUACUACUACAUGGACGGUGAGCGUUUCGGUCAAAGAAUGGUGGGACAGCAACCUUCAGAUUCGUCUCGGCUCUCCCAAAGCCCUAGCCUCAUUGAUGAUGCUCAUCUCUUGGGAGGUUUGGACUGAGAGAAAUGCUAGAGUCUUUCGCAACGUGGCGGUUCCAUCGGUGGUCAUCAUCAACAACAUCAAACAUGAGGCGUCGCUUUGGGUUUUGGCGGGUGCCAAGCACUUGAGUAUUGUAAUGCCGCGAGAGUAA